rnacentral:rRNA from 1 species
AGAUUGAACGCUGGCGGCAUGCCUAACACAUGCAAGUCGAACGGGAGUAGCAAUACUCUAGUGGCGGACGGGUGAGGAAUACGUAGGAAUUUGCCCUUAAGUGGGGGAUAACCCGGGGAAACCCGGAUUAAUACCGCAUGACCUCGAAAGAGCAAAGUGGGGGAUCGCAAGACCUCACGCUUUUGGAGAAGCCUACGUCGGAUUAGCUAGUUGGUGAGGUAAUGGCUCACCAAGGCGACGAUCCGUAACUGGUCUGAGAGAUGAUCAGUCACACCGGAACUGAGACACCGGUCCGGACUCCGUACGGGAGGCAGCAGGUGGGAAUAGUUGGACAAGUGGGCGACGAAGCCGUAGACUCCGA